rnacentral:rRNA from 1 species
AUUGAACGCUGGCGGCAGGCCUAACACAUGCAAGUCGAGCGGAGCGGCGGACGGGUGAGUAAUGCAUAGGAAUCUGCCUGGUAGUGGGGGAUAACGUCCGGAAACGGGCGCUAAUGCCGCAUACUAUCAGAUAAGCCUAGACCGGGUUAGCUAGUUGGUGGGGUAAGGGCCUCCAAAGGCGACGACCCUUAACUGGUCUGAGAGGAUGAGCAGCCACACUGGAACUGAGACACGGUCCAGACUCCUACGGGAGGCAGCAGUGGGGAAUAUUGGACAAUGGGCGAAAGCCUGAUCCAGCCAUGCCGCGUGUGUGAAGAAGGUCUUCGGAUUGUAAAGCACUUUAAGUUGGGAGGCGUUACCCACAGAAUAAGCACCGGCUAACUUCGUGCCAGCAGCCGCGGUAAUUC